UGCCGUAGGUGAACCUGCGGCAGGAUCAUUA
rnacentral:rRNA from 1 species